rnacentral:misc_RNA from 1 species
UCACUACUUGCGUAGGCAGUUUUCUUAGAGUUCCCAGCAUAACCUGAUGGUAACUAAGAAUAGGGGUUGCGCUCGUUAUGGGACUUAACCCGACACCUCACGGCACGAGCUGACGACAACCAUGCAGCACCUUGCAAAAUGCCCCGAAGGGAAUUCCGCUUUCACGAAACGUCAUUCUGCAUUUGAGCCCAGGUAAGGUUCCUCGCGUAUCAUCGAAUUAAACCACAUGCUCCUCCGCUUGUGCGGGCCCCCGUCAAUUCCUUUGAGUUUCAACCUUGCGAUCGUACUCCCCAGGUGGAUCACUUAUUGCUUUCGUUCAGUCGCUGACAGUAUAUCGCCAACAACGAGUGAUCAUCGUUUACAGCGUGGACUAC